UCGUGACCCUGACCAAAACAGACCGUGCACGCGUCAUCUAUCCUGCCGGCGGCGGCACCGCCCGUCGCUUGGCCAAAGUCCUUGAUGACCUCCUCUCCUCGGAGAGGGGUCUUGGGGUAAAAGAACCCACGGCGCCGAAGGCGUCAAGGAACACUAUGCCUAACAUAGGGACGCGGCUGGCUUGCUAGCCGCCCCCCGUGUUGCAAUGCUAUUUAAUCCACACGACUCUCGGCAACGGAUAUCUCGGCUCUCGCAUCGAUGAAGAACGUAGCGAAAUGCGAUACCUGGUGUGAAUUGCAGAAUCCCGCGAACCAUCGAGUCUUUGAACGCAAGUUGCGCCCGAGGCCACCUGGCCGAGGGCACGCCUGCCUGGGCGUCACGCCAAAUACGCUCCAACACCCUCAUCGGGCAGUGGGAUGCGGCUUGUGGCCCCCCGUCACGCAAGAGGCGGUGGGCCGAAGAUGCGGCUGCCGGCGUAUCGUGCCGGACACAGCGCGUGGUGGGCGACCUCGCUUUACUUACCGCAGUGCAUCCGACGCGUAGCCGACGUGAUGGCCUUGAUGGACCCUAUAAACGGAGCGCAUGACGCUUCGACC
rnacentral:misc_RNA from 1 species